rnacentral:rRNA from 1 species
AACGAACGCUGGCGGCAGGCUUAACACAUGCAAGUCGAGCGCCCCGCAAGGGGAGCGGCAGACGGGUGAGUAACGCGUGGGAAUCUACCCAUCUCUACGGAAUAACGCAUGGAAACGUGUGCUAAUACCGUAUACGUCCUUCGGGAGAAAGAUUUAUCGGAGAUGGAUGAGCCCGCGUUGGAUUAGCUAGUUGGUGGGGUAAAGGCCUACCAAGGCGACGAUCCAUAGCUGGUCUGAGAGGAUGAUCAGCCACACUGGGACUGAGACACGGCCCAGACUCCUACGGGAGGCAGCAGUGGGGAAUAUUGGACAAUGGGCGCAAGCCUGAUCCAGCCAUGCCGCGUGAGUGAUGAAGGCCCUAGGAUUGCAAAGCUCUUUCACCGGUGAAGAUAAUGACGGUAACCGGAGAAGAAGCCCCGGCUAACUUCGUGCCAGCCGCCGCCGUAAGAC